AGUUUUAUAGUCAAAUAAUGAUUUUAAAUUGCAAAUUUAAAGGUAGAAUUAAAUCUUAAGGCUU
rnacentral:tRNA from 1 species